GCCUCCGCCAGCCCGCCCCGCUGAGCCCCAGCACUCCUCGCAGACCCGGCUCCUGCGGCCGCGGCCCGGCCCCCGGGUUCUGCUGGUACCCGGCCCUGCGUGUCGGGCGGAACCGGUGACCAAAGUGGCGCAGCGUCUGGGCCCUGCGCCCGCAGGUUAACGCUUAACCACGCUCCGGAGCCUGAGGCUCAGCCGCGCCCUCGGCCCCCAACCUUUGGCCCGGGUGGCCCAAGGGCGGCGUGGAGGGUGAAGGAGGACCCUGACUUCCUCCAGGGUGAGGGAGAGGGGAGCAAGGAUGUGUCCAACUUCUGCCCCGACGCAGCCAGUGCAUGUGGCUGUCACAGGCUGGGAAAGCAGGCAGAGAGGUCAGCAGUUGAGUUUGCCGCAGGGGUGGAGAGCUGAGUACACGCAGGUGCCUUCAGCUCAGACGCUUCACCUGCCCGUGAUCCUGUGGCCUGGAGGUGCCAUUCCUGCCUGUCAGACGUGUGGACACUGAAGGUUUUGAUGAGAGAUGGGGAAGGGAGGACGCACCCGGUGCUGGCGGGAGUGUGGCAAACGCUCCCAGGCUUUUACUGGGAGGACCGGGGCGUUUGCUGCUAGUGGAAGGAGGAGGCUUGGUGCUGGCAGAUAGCCACGGACACAACCGGGACACAGCGCCCACUCUUCCUCCCCUGUCUGUGCUGGCCUUGCGCACCUCUGCUGGUGACCAGAAGCCACAGGUCAGCUGCAGCCAGGAGCUGGGGCAUCUGGGGGUGAGGACAAGCAGCACUUCCCUAGGAGCAGGCCUGGAGCGGGCCGACUCCUCGCACUUUGAAAGUGUCCUCUGCAUGGCUACCCAGGUCUCUGCAGGCCUGUCCUGCCCAGGGAGGGCAGGGGUCACCUGCAGCGCCUGUGACCCCUCCUGGGACAGUCCCCAGUGGGGUUGGUCUUUCUCUGCAGGCCACCGGCCCAGGCAGCCGUGGCAGGACAGGGCUCAGGGAGGGAAGCUGGCCUGGGCAGGGGCCAACCUUCAGGCCUCUCUUGCCCAGCAGAGGCACGAGGGGGGGGGGGCUGGCUGCUCUCCCAGCCUGGCUUGCUGCCCUCCCUGAGACCCAGGACUCGGCCCUCCUGCCAAGAUAAUUAUCCACAAACGGCAGGAGGGCCCAGGCCCUUGAGGGCACUGCCUGCCUGCAUUGUGUCCGCAGCUAAUUAGCGCCCAGCUGAGACCCAGGGCAGCCGGCUGGCCAGGGCGGCGGGGUGCCCUGCUCUGGGGUGCUGCGCUCACCCCUUCCAGGCCUGCCGGGGGAGCAGCGGGGGACAGCUGAAAGGCUCCUGGGCUGUGUCACCGCACCCCUCUCUGAGCCUCCUCUGAAGGGCAGCGUCUGCCUGCAGGGCUCACCCUGAGACUCGGCCGGAACCGCAGAAGGCAGAGUGUCCUUCCCCGGUGCCCACCCCCAUGCUCCCCACACUCACGCCCCGAGCUCGGUGGCCCCCAGUGCUCCCUGCCUCACGUACCCCAAUGGGUAGAUAAUCCGAUGAGAAGAGACUUAUGGAGUCCCCCUCUCUGCCUGGGUGGGAAUCCUCUCCCUGCGGGUCCACUGGGGAAAGGGGUCUUGCUCUGCUGCGGAUCACCAUCCCGCUUCUCACCUGGGACCUGCUCUCAAGGCCACCUGCCUCGAAGCCUUUCCUUGCUCCUUCCCACAGAGCCAGGCCUCUCAGUCACCUCUGGAGAGCUCCUGGUCCCGUGGUGGCCUGAGUGUGUAACUGGCGUUCAGCUGAGGAGACGUGAGAGGAAGUCUUCUGUCGCAGGGAGGUGUGGGUGUGAGAGAGGGUGGCUCUAGAAGUGCUGUUCCCACCAUGAGGAAGUUGUGUGAAUGAAGACAGUCUGCCCUGCACUUAUGGCCUUUGCUGGGUGAGGACGUGAUGCCUGGAGCCGCAGCAGCCCUCUUGUGACCACAGGAAGUCAGGAGCAGAGCGGAGAAGCCGAUCCCGGUCCCUGCUGCAGAGACCUGAGCCCAGCACAGACAAACUCCCUACUCUGGUUAAGUGAAACAAAAAGCCCUCAGUGUAGUUUAAGCUACUUUGGGUAGCAUGUUCUGUUAAUUGCAGCUGAAACGUCCAUUUAGCACCAUAGGGUCUGAUCAACUUUCUCCAAAUUCUGUUCCUUGGAAUAGUGGUAAUAAAUGUUUCUUUUAAAAGCC